CCCCCCCCCCCCCCCCCCCCCCCCCCCCCCCCCCCCCCCCCCCCCCCCCCCCCCCCCCGCGUCUGGCCGACUGGAGUUCCUGAGGGAAAGGGACCCUCGUGGGGCCGAGAGCGGCAAAGUAAAGGUCCCGAUUGAAAGGCCCCAAAGCGCGGACAGCGAGCGAGCGCUGCUAUCCUCCUGCGCGUCUCUCCGGAUGCCGAACCCGCACGGUGUGGGGUCAAGCGUAAACCCAGUUCGUGGAGAUGCUGAAAAUGAGUUUGUUACCGGAGUUAUUCUCGAGGGAAUUGCAGCAGCAUUGUCUCAGGAAAGAGGAUAGGGGGGCAUGUCAAGCAGGGGUAUAAGUGGAUAAAGCUGGGACUACAAUGUGGAAGAUCAGUGAGACACUAGCAACAAGGCUUUGCUCUGAGGGAGGUGGUCAGUAGUAGUGGCAUAUUUUGUAAACUUGCCCCUCAGUUCUCUCCAGGAGACAACAGUCUCUCUUGCCAGCUCCAUGGGACUAAGGUAGGCUUUCUGUCUCUUUUUUUUCCCUAAUUUUUCAGCUGUUUUUUUCCCCUGUUAUAAAUUCUGGAAACAGAUCAGCUUUCCAUCUUCGUCUCAAAAAGAAAAUCAAGACAGCAAAUAACUAAAUGACAGUGAAACGUACCAUGAAAGAUUUUUGUACCAUGAAAG
rnacentral:lncRNA from 12 species